GACGAACCGUGCGAACGUUGUUCGGAUUCACUGGGCUUAAAGGGCGCGUAGGCGGUCGGCCAAGUCUGGGGUGAAAUCUUUCGGCUCAACCGGAAAAGUGCCCCCGAUACUGGCCGGCUAGAGGGAGACAGGGGCAUGCGGAACUUCCGGUGGAGCGGUGAAAUGCGUAGAUAUCGCUUGGAACGCCAAUGGUGAAAACAGCAUCGCUGGGGGUGUGCCUGACGCUGGAGACACGAAAGCCAGGGGAGCGAAACGGGG
rnacentral:rRNA from 1 species